GACCACGGUAUAUGCGCUGCCUUUGAAGGCAAUGAUACGGCUGUUAUGUGCAGGUGUUUUGAAGGCUACCGUGGCGACACGUGUGACACCGUCUCAUGUUCUACUGUAAACAACUGUUCAGGACACGGUGCGUGUUUGGAGCCCAACCUCUGUAACUGUGACCCAGGCUUCGGGGGAAAUGACUGCUCUAAUUUCUCAUGUGAAGCUCUUGGAUACUGCUCUGGCAAUGGACAGUGCGUAUCAUUGGACACGUGCUUGUGUUC